AGGUAGGGGAGAAUGGAAUUCCUGGUGGAGCGGUGGAAUGCGCAGAUAUCAGGAGGAACACCAGUGGCGAAGGCGGUUCUCUGGGCCUUUCCUGACGCUGAGGAGCGAAAGCGUGGGGAGCGAACAGGCUUAGAUACCCUGGUAGUCCACGCUGUAAACGGUGGGUACUAGGUGUGGGGUCCAUUCCACGGGUUCCGUGCCGUAGCUAACGCUUUAAGUACCCCGCCUGGGGAGUACGGCCGCAAGGCUAAAACUCAAAGGAAUUGACGGGGCCCCGCACAAGCGGCGGAGCAUGCGGAUUAAUUCGAUGCAACGCGUAGAACCUUACCUGGGUUUGACAUGGAUCGGGAGUGCUCAGAGAUGGGUGUGCCUCUUUUGGGGUCGGUUCACAGGUGGUGCAUGGCUGUCGUCAGCUCGUGUCGUGAGAUGUUGGGUUAAGUCCCGCAACGAGCGCAACCCUUGUUCACUGUUGCCAGCACGUUAUGGUGGGGACUCAGUGGAGACCGCCGGGGUCAACUCGGAGGAAGGUGGGGAUGACGUCAAGUCAUCAUGCCCCUUAUGUCCAGGGCUUCACGCAUGCUACAAUGGCUGGUACAGAGAGUGGCGAGCCUGUGAGGGUGAGCGAAUCUCGGAAAGCCGGUCUCAGUUCGGAUUGGGGUCUGCAACUCGACCUCAUGAAGUCGGAGUCGCUAGUAAUCGCAGAUCAGCAACGCUGCGGUGAAUACGUUCCCGGGGCU
rnacentral:rRNA from 1 species